rnacentral:rRNA from 1 species
AGAGUUUGAUCCUGGCUCAGAACGAACGCUGGCGGCGUGGAUUAGGCAUGCAAGUCGAACGAGAAAGGUUUCUUCGGAAACCGAGUACAGUGGCAAACGGGUGAGUAACGCGUGAGAAACCUACCUUCUAGUUGGGGACAACACCUCUAACGAGGUGCUAAUACCGAAUACGAUCUUUUCACCGCAUGGUGAGUUGAUGAAAGGCGGCCUCUGCUUGCAAGCUGUCACUAGAAGAGGGUCUCGCGUCCCAUUAGCUUGUUGGUAGGGUAAUGGCCUACCAAGGCGAUGAUGGGUAGCCGGCCUUAGCGGGUGAUCGGCCACACUGGGACUGAGAUACGGCCCAGACUCCUACGGGAGGCAGCAGUCGAGAGGCAUCCACAAUGGGGGAAACCCUGAUGGUGCGACGCCGCGUGGGUGAUGAAGGUCUUCGGAUCGUAAAGCCCUUUCAGUAAGGACGAAAGUGCAGGGUGUUAAUAAUGCCCUAUGCCUGACGGUACUUACAGAAGAAGCUCCGGCUAACUCCGUGCCAGCAGCCGCGGUAAGACGGGGGGAGCAAGCGUUGUUCGGAUUUACUGGGCGUAAAGGGCGUCUAGGCGGGUUAGCAAGUCAGAUGUGAAAUCCCAUGGCUCAACCGUGGAAUUGCAUUUGAAACUGCUGGCCUUGAGUACGGAAGAGGAAAGCGGAAUUCCUGGUGUAGCGGUGAAAUGCGUAGAUAUCAGGAAGAACACCGGUGGCGAAGGCGGCUUUCUGGUCCGAUACUGACGCUAAAGCGCGAAAGUGUGGGGAGCGAACAGGAUUAGAUACCCUGGUAGUCCACACUGUAAACGAUGGGUACUAGGUGUCGGGGAUUCGACCUCUCCGGUGCCGGAGCUAACGCAUUAAGUACCCCGCCUGGGGAGUACGGUCGCAAGGUCGAAACUCAAAGGAAUUGACGGGGACCCGCACAAGCGGUGGAGCAUGUUGCUUAAUUCGACGCAACGCGAAGAACCUUACCGGGGUUUGACGUGCACUGGACCGCCAUAGAGAUAUGGCUUCCCUUCGGGGCUAGUGCAUCAGGUGCUGCACGGCCGUCGUCAGCUCGUGUCGUGAGAUGUUGGGUUAAGUCCUCUAACGAGCGCAACCCCUAUCCACAGUUGCCAUCAGGUAAUGCUGGGCACUCUGCGGAGACUGCCGGUGACAAACCGGAGGAAGGUGGGGAUGACGUCAAGUCAUCGUGGCG